UCAGAGGAAACGUGAAAGUCGUGUAGCCUAACGUCAACUAUUUUUUUCAAACUCAUAAUACUCUACUGAAUGUGCCAUCGAAAUGAUACAGGAAUCAUCUUAAAUAUUGUCUGUUUCUAUUGGACUUGCUAGUUCACCAACUCCAGAGACCAAUCUCUCAUUCCAUCUUCUAGAGAACCUUGAAUAACUGAUUGGCGGUUUCAUGUAGACAAUUUCGAGUGUAGGCCUAUACUGUUUAAUGAUUCUUUUAGAUCAUAGACGUCAAGCACAUUGAUGACACAAACAAGAAAAAGAAUAGACUAUACAGUCAACACAAUUCCUUGUUUGCUGACCUGUUGGCUGCUCCCCUUGAAUCUCCCUGUUUGUCAACAACAAAAAAAGAGAUAUGGCCUAUAUAUAAGAUCAAAUGUGUCGUUGUCCCUCCAAAAUAAGUCAAUGACCACACGUCCAACACAGAUUAUUCGUUCUGUCAUCGAACUUGACUCAUUCCAUCUUCUGGAUUGCUCAGGAAACCUGAUUGGCGUUAUCUGUCCAUUUAGGUAAUGACCGAGAAGAUGCGGCCUACAUGAAUAUCAUUUCGUCGGCCAUUAUCAUUCGACUACCCAACCGGCUUCUACUACCCUGGUCUCAACACAGCACGGAGUUUUACCCUUAAGAUUUUUGGCUGUUUUUCGCGAUGUGUGAUAUUUCGUUAGAUGAGAUGUUGAUUUUGGCGAGAAAAAUAUUGCGUGAGUGACUAAUAUUUUUACUUUAUAUUUGAUUCAAUCUAAAGAGGUCACAUAAUUUUACUGCAUUCAUCGUCAUUAUACCCUUUCAUUAUCAUUUCCAUACUGCAGAGCUAAAACUGUCUUUUUGUAGGUCUGAAUAUUACUCAUUGAAUGAUAUAUUGGUGAAUAUAUACUCAAAUGUCAAUUGAUAUAAAACCCAUCCCCAGCAACGUCAACCUGGAGAAGGAUAGGCCACUUUGCAUGGCCUUAACGCUCGAAGGUCACGGAGAUCAUUACGUAAAACGUAUCAUGUAGUGGUGUAGAGGUUGGGUGAGAAAGGGACAUGUUGCUUCAUUAUAUGCUUCAUAACCAUUUGGUAUUCAUUUUGAUAUUGGUUUUUGUAGACCCAUCCCCUGCAAAAGGAAAGGCCAGUUGGACGCUCGAAGGUCACGGAGAUCAUUA